ACUCCAUUAUUCAUGCACUCUUCCAAUCCUUUCAUCACACCAGGAAUAUAUUCUUUUGGCACUGCACCUCCCUUAAUUUCACUUUUGAACUCAUAUCCACUGCCUGGCUCCAUAGGUUCAAACCGUAUUGUUACAUCUGCAAACUGUCCUUGUCCACCAGACUGUUUUUUAUGCACAUACUUCACUUCUGAAACUUUGGAAAUGCUUUCACGAUAGUUUACUUGGGGUGCACCAACAUUAGCUUCCAC
rnacentral:misc_RNA from 1 species